rnacentral:lncRNA from 1 species
ACUUUGUUCGAUUGAAUGAGAAAAAGUACUAGUUGCAAAGUUAUACUGUUGGGGCGCAACAGAGUAGUCUACUGUUGUUCCGGUUUUGGUUCUUGUUAAGGUUGACAUCGAUUCAUUCCAAAUUUACACUCUCGGGGCAUAAUAGGACAAUAUAAUUAGGUUUUACUCUUUGUUCGAUAGAAUGAGAAAAAGUACUCAUUGCAAAGUUCUACUGUUAGGGCGCAACUGAAUAGCGUUAUGUUGUUACGGUUUUGGUUCUUGUGAACGUUGACAUCGAUUCGUUCGAAAUUACAACUCUCGCGGCAUAAUUGAACAAUAUAAUUAGGUUUUACACUUUGUUCAAUAGAAUGAGAAAAAGUACUCGUCGCAAAGUUAUACUGUUGGGGCGCAACUAAGUAGUCUAAUGUUGUUCCGGUUUUGGUUCUUGUGAACGUUGACAUCGAUUCGUUCCAAAUUUACACUCUCGGGGCAAAAUAGGACAAUAUAAUUAAGUUUUACGCUUUGUUCGAUCGAAUGAGAAAAUGUACGCGUUGCAAAUUUAUACUGUUAGGGCGCAGCUGGGUAGUCUAAUGUUGUUCCGGUUUCGGUUCAUGUGAAGGUUGACAUCGAUUCGUUCCAAAUGUACACUCUUGGGGCAUAAUAGAACAAUAUAAUUAGCUUUUACACUUUGUUCAAUCGAAUGGAAAAAAAUACUCGUUGCAAAGUUAUACUGUUAGGGCGCAGCUUAGUAGUCUAAUGUUGUUCCGGUUUUGGUUCUUGUGAAGGUUGACAUCGAUUCGUUCUAAAUUUACACUCGCGGGGCAUAAUAGAACAAUAUAAUUAGCUUUUACACUUUGUUCGGUCGAAUGGGAAAAAGUACUCGUUGCAAAGUUAUACUGUUAGGGCGGAACUGAGUAGACUAUUGUUGUUCCGGUUUUGGUUCUUGUGAAGGUUGACAUCGAUUCGUUCCAAAUUUACACUCUUGGGGCAUAAUAGAACAAUAUAAUUAGUUUUUACACUUUGUUCGAUUGAUUAAGAAAAAGUACUAGUUGCAAAGUUAUACUGUUGGGGCGCAACAGAGUAGUCUAUUGUUGUUCCGGUUUUGAUUCUUGCUAAGGUUGACAUCGAUUCGUUCCAAAUUUACACUCUCGGGGCAUAAUAGAACAAUAUAAUUUGGUUUUACUCUUUGUUCGAUAGAAUAAGAAAAAGUAGUCAUUGCAAUGUUAUACUGUUAGGGCGCCACUGAAUAGUCUAAUAUUGUUCCGGUUUUGGUUCUUGUGAACGUUGACAUCGAUUCGUUCGAAAUUACAACUCUCGGGGCAUAAUUGAACAAUAUAAUUAGGUUUUACUCUUUGUUCGAUAGAAUGAGAAAAAGUACUCGUCGCAAAGUUAUACUGCUAGGGCGCAACUGAGUAGUCUAAUGUUGUUCCGAUUUUGGUUCUUGUGAACGUUGACAUCGAUUCGUUCCAAAUUUACACUCUCGGGGCACAAUUGAACAAUAUAAUUAGGUUUUACUCUUUGUUCGAUAAAAAGAGAAAAAGUACUCGUUGCAAAGUUAUACUGUUAGGGCGCAACAGAGUAGUCUAAUGUUGUUCCGGUUUUCGUUCUUGUGAACGGUGACAUCGAUUCGUUCCAAAUUUACACUCUCGGGNCUGGGAACUUGUUGUACACAAUCUCGUCGUUGUGCCUUGGGCGGACAGGGGAGGUACUGUCCGUACGGCGGUCCGCCGCCGUGCCCGAACCGAACCAAAUUGGUAUCGGCCUCGGGGCGGGGGCGUGACAGAAAAAUUACUAGUUGCAAAGUUAUACUGUUGGGGCGCAACAGAGUAGUCUAUUGUUGUUCCGGUUUUGGUUAUUGUUAAGGUUGACAUCGAUUCGUUUCAAAUUUACACUCUCGAGGCAUAAUAGAACAAUAUAAUUAGGUUUUACUCUUUGUUCGAUAGAAUGAGAAAAAGUACUCAUUGCAAAGUUAUACUGUUAGGGCGCAACCGAAUAGUCUAAUGUUGUUCCGGUUUUGGUUCUUGUGAACGCUGACAUCAAUUGGUUCGAAAUUACAACUCUCGGGGCAUAAUUGAACAAUAUAAAUUAGGUUUUACUCUUUGUUCGAUAGAAUGAGAAAAAGAACUCGUCGCAAAGUUAUACUGCUAGGGGGCAACUGAGUAGUCUAAUAUUGUUCCGGUUUUGGUUCUUGUGAACGUUGACAUCGAUUCGUUCCAAAUUUACACUCUCGGGGCAUAAUAGAACAAUACAAUUAAGUUUUACUCUUUGUUCGAUCGAAUGAGAAAAAGUACUCGUUGCAAAUUUAUAAUAUUAGGGCGCAGCUGAGUAGUCUAAUGUUGUUCCGGUUUUGGUUCUUGUGAAGGUUGACAUCGAUUCGUUCCAAAUUUACACUCUUGGGGCAUAAUAGAACAAUAUAAUUAGCUUUUACACUUUGUUCGAUCGAAUGGGAAAAAAGUACUCGUUACAAAGUUAUACUGUUAGGGCGCAACUGAGUAGUCUAUUGUUAUUCCAGUUUUGGUUCUUGUGAAGGUUGACAUCGAUUCGUUCCAAAUUUACACUCUCGGGGCAUAAUAGAACAAUAAAAUUAGCUUUUACACUUUGUUCGAUUGAAUAAGAAAAAGUACUAGUUGCAAAGUUAUAUUGUUGGGGUGCAACAGAGUAGUCUAUUGUUUUUCCGAUUUUGGUUCUGGUGAAGGUUGAUAUCGAUUCGUUCCAAAUUUACACUCUCGGGGCAUAAUGAAUAAAAUAAAUAGCUUUUACACUUUGUUCGAUUGAAUGAGAAAAAGUACUAGUUGCAAAGUUAUACUGUUGGGGCGCAACAGAGUAGUUUACUGUUGUUCCGAUUUUGGUUCUUGUUAAGGUUGACAUCGAUUCAUUCCAAAUUUACACUCUCGGGGCAUAAUAGAACAAUACAAUUAAGUUUUACUCUUUGUUCGAUCGAAUGAGAAAAAGUACUCGUUGCAAAAUUAUGCUGUUAGGGCGCAACUGAGUAGUCUAGUGUUGUUCCGAUUUUGGUUCUUGUGAAGAUUGACAUCGAUUCGUUCCAAAUUUACACUCUCGGGGCAUAAUAGAACAAUAUAAUUAGCUUUUACACUUUGUUCGAUUGAAUGAGAAAAAGUACUAGUUGCAAAGUUAUACUGUUGGGGCGCAACAGAGUAGUCUAUUGUUGUUCCGGUUUUGGUUCUUGUUAAGGUUGACAUCGAUUCGUUCCAAAUUUACACUCUCGGGGCAUAAUAGAACAAUAUAAUUAGGUUUUACUCUUUGUUCGAUCGAAUGAGAAAAAGUACUCGUUGCAAAGUUAUACUGUUAGGGCGCAACUGAGUAGUCUAAUGUUGUUCCGGUUUUGGUUCUUGUGAACGUUGACAUCGAUUCGUUCGAAUUUACACUCUCGCGGCAUAAUAGAACAAUAUAAUUAGGUUUUACACUUUGUUCGAUAGAAUGAGAAAAAGUACUCGUUGCAAAGUUAUACUGUUAGGGCGCAACUGAGUAGUCUAAUGUUGUUCCGGUUUUGGUUCUUGUGAACGUUGACAUCGAUUCGUUCCAAAUUUACACUCUCGGGGCAUAAUAGAACAAUAUAAUUAGGUUUUACGCUUUGUUCGAUUGAAUGAGAAAAAGUACUCGUUGCAAAGUUAUACUGUUAGGGCGCAACUGAGUAGUCUAAUGUUGUUCCGGUUUUGGUUCUUGUGAACGUUGACAUCGAUUCGUUCCAAAUUUACACUCUCGGGGCAUAAUAGAACAAUAUAAUUAGNNNNNNNNNNNNNNNNNNNNNNNNNAGAUCGAUUCGUUCCAAAUUUACACUCUCGGGGCAUAAUAGGAAGUUUUUACUUCUUGUUCGAUAGAAUAAGAAAAAGUACUCAUCGCAAAGUUAUACUGUUAUGGCGCAACUGAGUAGUCUAAUGUUGUUCCGGUUUUGGUUCUUGUCAACGUUGACAUCGAUUCGUUCUAAAUUUACACUCUCGACGCUUGAACAAUAUAAUUAGGUUUUACUCUUUAUUCGAUUGAAUGAGAAAAAGGACUAGUUGCAAUGUUAUACUGUUAGGGCUCAACUGAGUAGUCUAACGUUCUUCCGGUUUUGGUUCUUGUGAACGCUGACAUUGAUUCGUUCCGAAUUUACACCCUUGGGGCAUAAAAGAAAGCUUUUACUCCUUGUUCGAUGAUUGAGAAAAAGUACUCAUUGCAAAGUUAUACUGUUAUGGCGCAAUAGAGUAGUCUAAUGUUGUUCCGGUUUUGGUUCUUGUGAACAUUGACGUCAAUUAGUUCCAAAUUUACACUCUCGGGGCAUAAUAGAACAAUAUUAUUAUGUUUUACGCUUUAUUCGAUUGAACGAGAAAAAGUACUCGUCGCAAAGUUAUUCUAUUAGGCGCAACUGAGUAGUCUAAUGUAGUUCCGGUUAUGGUACUUGUGAACGUUGACAUCGAUUCGUUCCAAAUUUACACUCUCGGGGCAUAAUAGAAAGCUUUUACUCCUUGUUCAAUAGAAUUAGAAAAAGUACUCGUUGCAAAGUUAAACUGUUAAGGCACACAGAGUAGUCUAUUGUUGUUCCGAUUUUGGUUCUUGUCAACGUUGACAUCGAUUCGUUCCAAAUUUACACUCUUGGGGUAUAAUAGAACAAUAUAAUUAGGUUUUACUCUUUAGUCGAUUGAAUGAGAAAAAGUACUAGUUGCAAUGUAAUACUAUCAGGGCUCAACUGAGUAGUCUAACGUUGUUUCUGUUUUGGUUCUUGUGAACGUUGACAUCGAUUCGUUCAAAAUUUACACUCUCGGGGAAUAAUAAAAAGCUUUUACUCCUUACUCGAAACAAUGAGAAAAAGUACACGUUGCAAAGUUAUGCUAUUAUGGCGCAACAGAGUAGCCUAAUGUAGUUCCGGUUUUGGUUCUUGUCAACGUUGACAUCGAUUCGUUCCAAAUAUACACUCUCGGGGCAUAAUAGAACAAUAUCGUUUGGUUUUACUCUUUAUUCGAUUGAAUGAGAGAAAGUACUCGUUGCAAAGUUAUACUGUUAUGGCAAAACUGAGUAGUCAAAUUUAGUUCCUGUUUUGGUUCUUGUGAACUUUGACUUCGAUUCGUUCCAAAUUUAUACUCUCGAGGCAUAAUAGAACAAUAUUAUUAGUUUUGCUAUUUGUUCGAUUGAAUGAGAACAAGUUCUAGUUGCAAAGUUAUACUGUCAAGGCUCAACUGAGUAGUCAAACGUUGUUCCGGUUUUGGUUUUUGUGAACGUCAACAUCGUUACGUUGCAAAUUUACACUCUCGGGGCAUAAUAGAAAGCUUUUACACCUUGUUCGAUAGAAAGAGAAAAAGUACUCGUUGCAAAAUUAUAUUGUUAUGGCGCAACAGAGUAGUCUAAUGUUAUUUCAGGUUUGGUUCUUGUGAACAUUGACAUCGAUUCAUACCAAAUUUACACUCUCGGUGCAUAAUAGAACAACAUAAGUAGGUUUUGCUCUUUGUUCGAUUGAAUGAGAAAAAGUACUAGUUGCAAUCUUAUACUGUUAGGGCUCAACUGAGUUGUCUAACGUUGUUUCGGUUUUGGUUCUCGUGAACGUUGACAUCGAUUCNNNNNNNNNNNNNNNNNNNNNNNNNAUACUGUUAUGGCGCAACUGAGUAGUCUAAUGUUGUUCCAGUUUUGGUUCUUGUGAACGUUGACAUCGAUUCGUUCCAAAUUAAAACUCUCCGGUAAUAAUAGAACAAUAUAAUUAGGUUUUGCUCUUUGUUCGAUUGAAUGAGAAAAAAUACUAGUUGCAAAGUUAUACUGUUAGGGCUCAACUGAGUAGUCUAACGUUGUUCCGGUUUUAGUUCGUGCGAACGUUGACAUUGAUUCGCUCCAAAUUUACACUCUCGGGGCAUAAUAGAUAGCUUUUACUCCUUAUUCGAUAGAAUUAGAAAAAGUACUCGUUGCAAAGUUAAACUGUUAAGGCGCAACUGAGUAGUCUAGCGUUGUUCCAGUUUUGGUUCUUGUGAACGUUGACAUCGAUUCGUUCCAAAUUUACACUCUCGGGGUAUAAUAGAACAAUAUAAUUAGGUUUUACUCUUUGUUCAAUUGAAUAAGAAAAAGUACUGGUUGCAAUGUCAUACUGUUAGGGCUCAACUGAGUAGUCUAACGUUCUUCCGAUUUUGGUUCUCGUGAACGUUG